rnacentral:rRNA from 1 species
GAUGAACGCUAGCGAUAGGCUUAACACAUGCAAGUCGAGGGGCAGCACAAGGUAGCUUGCUAUCUGGGUGGCGACCGGCGCACGGGUGCGUAACGCGUAUGCAACUUGCCCUAUACAGGAGGAUAACCCGUCGAAAGACGGACUAAUACUGCGUAUGCUCACAACUUGGCAUCAAGUGGUGAGGAAAGAAAUUCGGUAUAGGAUAGGCAUGCGUCCCAUUAGCUUGUUGGUGAGGUAACGGCUCACCAAGGCAACGAUGGGUAGGGGAACUGAGGGGUUUAUCCCCCAAACUGGUACUGAGACACGGACCAGACUCCUACGGGAGGCAGCAGUGAGGAAUAGUAGUCAAUGGGCGCGAGCCUGAACCAGCCAAGUCGCGUGAAGGAUGACUGUCUUAUGGAUUGUAAACUUCUUUUAUACGGGAAUAACAAGAGUCACGUGUGACUCCCUGCAUGUACCGUAUGAAUAAGCAUCGGCUAACUCCGUG